GAAUGGAGGGAGCGGAGGGAUGCGCUCCGUUACAUGUUACGUUUACCUGAAGCAAACGAAAGAAUAGACUCUUCACACGCGAUCUGAUUGGUUGGCUUUUAUUUCUUUCACGGCAUUGUGCAAUGCGAGGUGAUCGCUUAUUUCUAUAUUAUUCUUAUCGUUGUUCUUAUCGUUAUUCCCUCGCAUUGUGCAAAGCGAAUCCCCUUAACUCUAGACAUUUAAAAAUUUUAAUCGUCUAUAUAAACAUUUCAAAUGGCCAAAAGUUUGUUCAAUAAUGACUUUAGUACUACACAAUCUUUUAUUAAAUUUAUUUUGUGCAUGUGUUAAGUGACCGUUAUCUUUAAAAGCAACCAUAAUGAAAAUUUGUAAAGGAUAUGAGUCUUUCAAAAGAUAUGUAUUUGGAGGAAGCAUUUGUUUAUGAUUUUUAUUUAAUUUUUGAUAUUUGAUUGAAUUUUGCCACAUCUUUGCAUUAUGUGUUGACCCCGGCCAUCUACAAUAAACAUUAAUAAAUUCUUUUUUAGCAUACCGAGAUAUCCUGUAAUUAUACAGAAUGAAAGCCUUUCCUAUUCUAAUAGGAAUUGUCUUUCAUAGGUCCAGGUACUAAAAUAUGUGCUCCGUCUACAUCCAAAAACAUUAGAGAAACUUGCAUAUCCUCUUAAGCAAUUAAAUUUUUCUAUAUUUUUGUAUGCAGCUCUUCCUGUAGGCCAAACUAUAUAUUUUUAUAUCUUUUUACUUAGUAAUUUACACGUUCUCAUAAAGACAGUAUGAGCAUUUCCUUUGCUUAAAUCGAAACGAUCUGCAAUUGAGCGAAUAGAUUCUUGAUUUGCAACAAUCCAUAUAAAAUAACUAAUAAGUUAAUAGCUAGUUAAUAAAAUAGCUUUUUUAAUUGAAAUUGGUGUACAUUCUUUCCCUAUUUGUGAUUCUUGUACACUUAAAUCUUGAAUAAGAGUCUGAGAAUGUAAAAUAAUGUUAGAGAUUAUUAAUAUUUUAUUAAUUUAUUUAUAAUCUGUAUUUUUUUAAUUUAUAAUUAAAGUAUAUGUUUAGUAUGCACCUCAACUGACAUUCUAGAUAAUCGAAAAUGUACUUUAAAAUCAAUGUUUGAAUAUAAUGGUACUAUUUUGGAGAAAAA